CAAUAAGCGGAGGAAAAGAAACUAACAAGGAUUCCCCUAGUAACUGCGAGUGAAGCGGGAAAAGCUCAAAUUUGAAAUCUGGCGGUCUUUGGCUGUCCGAGUUGUAAUCUAGAGAAGUGUUAUCCGUGCUGGACCGUGUACAAGUCUCCUGGAAUGGAGCGUCAUAGAGGGUGAGAAUCCCGUCUUUGACACGGACUGCCAGGACUUUGUGAUGCGCUCUCAAAGAGUCGAGUUGUUUGGGAAUGCAGCUCAAAAUGGGUGGUAAAUUCCAUCUAAAGCUAAAUAUUGGCGAGAGACCGAUAGCGAACAAGUACCGUGAGGGAAAGAUGAAAAGAACUUUGGAAAGAGAGUUAAACAGUACGUGAAAUUGCUGAAAGGGAAACGCUUGAAGUCAGUCGCGUUGUCCAGGGAUCAACCUUGCUUUUGCUUGGUGCACUUUCUGGUUGACGGGUCAGCAUCAAUUUUGACUAUUGGAAAAAGAUUAGGGGAAUGUGGCAUCUUUGGAUGUGUUAUAGCCCUUGGUUGCAUACAAUGGUUGGGAUUGAGGAACUCAGCACGCCGCAAGGCCGGGUUUUAACCACGUACGUGCUUAGGAUGCUGGCAUAAUGGCUUUAAUCGACCCGUCUUGAAACACGGACCAAGGAGUCUAACAUGCCUGCGAGUGUUUGGGUGGAAAACUCGAGCGCGUAAUGAAAGUGAAAGUUGAGAUCCCUGUCGUGGGGAGCAUCGACGCCCGGACCAGACCUUUUGUGACGGUUCCGCGGUAGAGCAUGUAUGUUGGGACCCGAAAGAUGGUGAACUAUGCCUGAAUAGGGUGAAGCCAGAGGAAACUCUGGUGGAGGCUCGUAGCGAUUCUGACGUGCAAAUCGAUCGUCAAAUUUGGGUAUAGGGGCGAAAGACUAAUCGAACCAUCUAGUAGCUGGUCU
rnacentral:rRNA from 1 species